rnacentral:rRNA from 1 species
GACGAACGCUGGCGGCGUGCCUAAUACAUGCAAGUCGAACGGUCUUUUCUAUGGAAGCUUGCUUCCACUGAGAAGAUAGUGGCGAACGGGUGAGUAACACGUGGGUAACCUGCCCAUAAGAGGGGGAUAACAUCCGGAAACGGGUGCUAAUACCGCAUAGUUUUCUUGAUCGCAUGAUCGGGAAAGGAAAGACGGCCUUUGUGCUGUCGCUUAUGGAUGGACCCGCGGCGUAUUAGUUAGUUGGUGAGGUAACGGCUCACCAAGACGAUGAUACGUAGCCGACCUGAGAGGGGGAUCGGCCACAUUGGGACUGAGACACGUCCCAAACUCCUACGGGAGGCAGCAGGAGGGAAUCUUCCGCAAUGGACGAAAGUCUGACGGAGCAACGCCGCGUGUGUGAAGAAGGUUUUCGGAUCGUAAAACUCUGUUGUCAGAGAAGAACAAGUCGGAGAGUAACUGCUCCAGCCUUGACGGUAUCUGACCAGAAAGCCACGGCUAACUACGUGCCAGCCGCCGCAGUAAAAC